rnacentral:tRNA from 1 species
GGAGGGUUGGCCGAGCGGUUGAAGGCGGCAGUCUUGAAAACUGCAGUAGGGGAGACCCUACCGGGGGUUCGAAUCCCUCACCCUCCGCCA